rnacentral:rRNA from 1 species
GACGAACGCUGGCGGCGUGCUUAACACAUGCAAGUCGAACGGAAAGGCCCUGCUUUUGUGGGGUGCUCGAGUGGCGAACGGGUGAGUAACACGUGAGUAACCUGCCCUUGACUUUGGGGUAUCUUCAGGAAACUGGGGAUCAUACCGGAUAGGAGCUCCUGCUGCAUGGUGGGGGUAGGAAAGUUUCGGCGUUUGGGGAUGGAAUGGUGGCUAUUCGGCUUGUUGGUGGGGAGGUGGCGUACUAGGGCUUCGAGGGGUAGCCGGACUGAGAGGGUGACCGGCCACAGUGGGACUGAGAUAGGGGCCAGAGUCCUACGGGGGGCAGCAGUGGGGAACAGUCCACAAUGGGCGGAAGCCUGAUGCAGCGACGCCGGGUGGGGGAGGACGGCCGUCGGGUUGUAAACCGCGUUCGCCUGUGACGAAGCGUGAGUGACGGUAAUGGGUAAAGAAGCACCGGCUAACUACGUG